CGCGCAGGCGGUCGUUCAAGUCGAGUGUGAAAGCCCCCGGCUCAACUGGGGAGGGUCAUUCGAUACUGAUCGACUCGAAGGCAGGAGAGGGAAGUGGAAUUCCCGGUGUAGUGGUGAAAUGCGUAGAUAUCGGGAGGAACACCAGUGGCGAAGGCGACUUCCUGCCUGUUCUUGACGCUGAGGCGCGAAAGCUAGGGAGCAAACG
rnacentral:rRNA from 1 species